GAGAAGCUUGCUUCUCUGAUGUUAGCGGCGGACGGGUGAGUAACACGUGGAUAACCUACCUAUAAGACUGGGAUAACUUCGGGAAACCGGAGCUAGUACCGGAUAAUAUUUUGAACCGCAUGGUUCAAAAGUGAAAGACGGUCUUGCCGUCACUUAUAGAUGGAUCCGCGCUGCAUUAGCUGGUUGGUAAGGUAACGGCUUACCAAGGCAACGAUGCAUAGCCGACCUGAGAGGGUGAUCGGCCACACUGGAACUGAGACACGGUCCAGACUCCUACGGGAGGCAGCAGUAGGGAAUCUUCCGCAAUGGGCGAAAGCCUGACGGAGCAGCGCCGCGUGAGUGAUGAAGGUCUUCGGAUCGUAAAACUCUGUUAUUAGGGAAGAACAUAUGUGUAAGUAACUGUGCACAUCUUGACGGUACCUAAUCAGAAAGCCACGGCUAACUACGUGCCAGCAGCCGCGGUAAUACGUAGGUGGCAAGCGUUAUCCGGAAUUAUUGGGCGUAAAGCGCGCGUAGGCGGUUUUUUAAGUCUGAUGUGAAAGCCCACGGCUCAACCGUGGAGGGUCAUUGGAAACUGGAAAACUUGAGUGCAGAAGAGGAAAGUGGAAUUCCAUGUGUAGCGGUGAAAUGCGCAGAGAUAUGGAGGAACACCAGUGGCGAAGGCGACUUUCUGGUCUGUAACUGACGCUGAUGUGCGAAAGCGUGGGGAUCAAACAGGAUUAGAUANCCUGGUAGUCCACGCCGUAAACGAUGAGUGCUAAGUGUUAGGGGGUUUCCGCCCCUUAGUGCUGCAGCUAACGCAU
rnacentral:rRNA from 1 species